AGCUAGGAACAUUUUGAAAGAGAAGUACAUACACUCGUGUAAAGCUUAGCUAGCUAGGGUAAACACUAACCAUACCAACACUAUAUAUUGAAGUCGAUGUAACAACUAUACUCUAUAAUCCAUUAUUUUCCAUCUUCCUAUACUUCAAUUAUUCAAUUCAAUAACAUUACCCAAAAAUAUAUACAAACAAACACCCACUUCCCUUUUUUUUAAAUUUCAAUUUCACCCUCAAUUAAGUAAAAGCUAGAACACAAGAGAGAAUCCUGCUUCCAAAAUUACACUAUUACCCCUCCUCUCUUCUUCUUCUUCCUCUGAUUCUUUCUCUUCAUUCUUCUCCUUCUCCGUUUCUU
rnacentral:lncRNA from 1 species